GCCACCCUUGCCACCCUUGCCACUCUUGCCACCCUUGCCACCUUUGCCACCCUUGCCACCUUUGCCACCCUUGCCACCCUUGCCACCUUUGCCAUACUACUACUCUGAUUGAUUUGUACCCCUUGAGAAGUAGUCUAGGACCUGUAUAUGAGUUUGUAUGCAUUUCAUUUACCACAGGUAAUCUCAACUGUUUUAGGGUAAAAUGACCAUGGCAGUCAACAUGGCAUAUGUGCCAAAACCUGAAUCCUGGAC